rnacentral:rRNA from 1 species
GAUGAACGCUAGCGGCAGGCUUAAUACAUGCAAGUCGAACGGUAACAGGUGUAGCAAUACAUGCUGACGAGUGGCGCACGGGUGAGGAACACGUACGCAAUCUACCUUUAACGUGGGGGAUAAGCGUCCGGGAAAACUGGGAUUAAUCCCGCAUAACAUCACGAAAGGGCAUCCAAUUGUGAUUAAAGUCUUCGGACGGUUAAAGAUGAGCGUGCGUCUGAUUAUGGUUGGGUGAGGUAACGGCUCACCAAGCCUACGAUCAGUAGCUGGUCUAGAGAGGACGAUCAGCCACAUGGGCACUGAGAC